UUCUCCUUUUUAGGGAAAACUCUUUUCAGCUUUGCUAUACCCAUCGCUUGCGGUUUUUGGGUGAAGUAUAGGUGGCCCAGGCAAUCCCAAAUCAUUAUCAAGGUUGGAAGCACCAUUGGAGGAUUUCUAUGGGUAGUCCCGACAGUAGCCUACUUACUGACAUUUCAAGGUUCUUGGAUCGUGGACUACUCUCUUCUGAUAGUUGCAGCAGUGCUCCCAGUGACUGGCUACCUUGGUGGCUUUCUGCUGGCCCGUCUCACCUGCCAGUCUUGGCAAAGGUGUCGGACGAUUUCUGUGGAGACAGGAACUCAGAACUUGAACUUGCCCGUUGCUGUGUUCCAGCUGUCUUUUGGUUUCCAGCAUUUCAUCCAGAUAUAUCCAUUCAUUGUGAUCUAUAGCGCAUUUCAGUUGCUAAAUUUAUCCCUU